ensembl:lncRNA
CGGAAGCUACAGAGAUAGAGAGAGAGAGAGAGAGAGUAACAGAACAAACCAACCAACCAACCAACCAACAAACAACGCGCUCAUCCACAACAUAGAUAAGUGUCCUUGGAGAGCUCCUCAAUGAGACUUAAACCUCGGUGAAAUCCUGCGACUAGUGAUGUCCGGCCACCCGACAACCUGCCCACUCGACCCCAUCCCCUCUUCCCUUCUCCAGACUAUUUCUACAGACCUUCUCUCAUUCCUCACUUCCAUCAUCAACUCAUCCCUGACUACUGGCUGCAUCCCCUCUGACUUCAAAAUGGCCGCUCCCCUCCGCAAGAAACCAACACUUGACCCCUCUGCCGUCAAAAACUACAGACUGGUUGCAACACACAUCUCUGGCAGACAUCUCAGCUCAUCAGCUCAAGCUCAACUUCGACAAAACAGAGCUAUUCUUUCUCCCGGGAAAGGCCUGUUCUCUCCAAGACCUCUCCAUCACAGUCACAACUCCAGUGUCCCCCUCCCAGAGUGAUUUUGGCGUGACCGUGAACAACACCCUGCCAUUCUCUGCAAACAUCAAUUCGCUCCUGACCUGAGCCCUAGGACCAUGCCCCAGGACUACCUGACAUGAUGACUCCUUGCUGUCCCCAGUCCACCUGGCCAUGCUGCUGCUCCAGUUUCAACUUCCACCUGACUGUGCUGCUGCUCCAGUUUCAACUGUUCUGCCUUAUUAUUAUUCGGCCAUGCUGGUCAUUUAUGAACAUUUGAACAUCUUGGCCAUGUUCUGUUAUAAUCUCCACCCGGCACAGCCAGAAGAGGACUGGCCACCCCACAUAGCCUGGUUCCUCUCUAGGUUUCUUCCUAGGUUUUGGCCUUUCUAGGGAGUUUUUCCUAGCCACCGUGCUUCUACACC